GUGGAUGGUGAGGAGUUUCCUCUUGACGCGGAGGGGAUUGGGCGAGCAGCGGACGUUCUCGCGGAGAGGGGGAAACGUGGACUAAACGGUUUUUUAAGAAGAACGAUCCAGAAAGCGGAACCAAGUACGGACUGGAUUGGGGAGAGACGGGGGCAGGGAAGUCGGCGGAGAAGCUGAUGCAGUAAUCAAGGCGGGAUGGGAUAAGUGCCUGCAUCAGCAGGGCGACGGUUUGGACGGAGAAGAAAGGGUGGAUUUUAGCGAUGCUCCUCCGAAGGUAGAAGCGACAGGAUUUGGCGUCGGAUCGAACGUGUGGGCUGAACGAGGGAGACGGGUCGAGGAUAACGCCAAGGUUACGGGCUCGUGAGACAGGAAGCUGACUCUGAGACAUCGCUGCCCGUCAUUCUGAGGACGAGCACCAUCCCACCCGGAACGGAGGAGUUCCUCGUUCACGGUGAUUGAUUUGGGCCGGGGUAAAUGGGGCGGGCGUGGGGUGUCUUGCUCUGAAGAAGGCCAGGUCACCUCAUUAAAGACCGUCUUGACCUCGGCACCGCUGCUUGAAUAGGGCCGGUCUGGACUGUCCGUCGGGGUGGCCUAGCGGAAAGAGCCCCGGCCGGGAAGUAAAAGGAUCUCAUCGCGGUUCCUCCACUUGUCUGCCCGGUGACCUCGGUUCCUAGAGGUCAAGCCCUGGGGCAGUUACAGUGCGAUCGGAGCAGACACGGUGGAGAAGCAGUGUGGCCUAGUGGAAAGAGCCCCGACCUGGGCGUCAAAAGGACCCGGGUUCUAAAUCCGGCUCC